AUGCAGCAACGCCGCGUGAGGGAUGACGGCCUUCGGGUUGUAAACUCUUUUAGCAGGGAAGAAGCGAGAGUGACGGUACCUGCAGAAAAAGCACCGGCUAACUACGUGCCAGCAGCCGCGGUAAUACGUAGGGUGCAAGCGUUAUCCGGAAUUAUUGGGCGUAAAGAGCUCGUAGGCGGUCUGUCGCGUCUGCUGUGAAAUUCCGAGGCUCAACCUCGGGCUUGCAGUGGGUACGGGCAGACUAGAGUGCGGUAGGGGAGAUUGGAAUUCCUGGUGUAGCGGUGGAAUGCGCAGAUAUCAGGAGGAACACCGAUGGCGAAGGCAGAUCUCUGGGCCGUAACUGACGCUGAGGAGCGAAAGGGUGGGGAGCAAACAGGCUUAGAUACCCUGGUAGUCCACCCCGUAAACGUUGGGAACUAGUUGUGGGGUCCUUUCCACGGAUUCCGUGACGCAGCUAACGCAUUAAGUUCCCCGCCUGGGGAGUACGGCCGCAAGCUAAAACUCAAAGGAAUWGACGG
rnacentral:rRNA from 1 species